rnacentral:rRNA from 1 species
AUUGAACGCUGGCGGCAGGCCUAACACAUGCAAGUCGAACGAGUGGCGGACGGGUGAGUAAUGUCUGGGAAACUGCACGAUGGAGGGGGAUAACUACUGGAAACGGUAGCUAAUACCGAAUACGAUCGGAUGUGCACAGAUGGGAGUAGAUAGUAGGUGGGGUAAAGGCUCACCUAGGCGACGAUUCCUAGCGGGUCUGAGAGGAUGACGAGAGAGACUGGAAAUGAGAAACGGUCCGGACGCAUACGGGAGGCAGCAGGGGGGAAUAUGGACCAAUGGGCGAAAGCCUGCAGCAGCACUGCCGCGUGUAUGAAGAAGGCCUUCGGUUUGUAAAGUACGUGCAGCGGGGAGGCGUUAUCCGCAGAAGAAGCACCGGCUAACUCCGUGCCAGCCGCCGCGGUAAUUC